rnacentral:rRNA from 1 species
UACGUAGGGUCCGAGCGUUGUCCGGAAUUAUUGGGCGUAAAGGGCUCGUAGGCGGUUUGUCGCGUCGGGAGUGAAAACACGGGGCUUAACCCCGUGCCUGCUUCCGAUACGGGCAGACUAGAGGUAUGCAGGGGAGAACGGAAUUCCUGGUGUAGCGGUGAAAUGCGCAGAUAUCAGGAGGAACACCGGUGGCGAAGGCGGCCCCCCUGGACCGGUACUGACGCUGAGGCGCGAAAGCGUGGGUAGCAAACAGG